AACAAACGCUGGCGGCGCGUUUUAAGCAUGCAAGUCGGACGGCAAGAGUUGUAGCAAUAUGGCUCCUAGAGUGGCGAACGGGUGAGUAACACGUAGGUGAUCUACCUUUGGAUGGGGGAUAGUCCGUGGAAACACGGGGUAAUACCGCAUGAGGCCUUGUGGGUAAAGCCAUGAGGUGAAAGGUGCAAUUGCACCGUCUGGGGAUGAGCCUGCGGUCCAUUAGCUAGUUGGCGGGGUAAGAGCCCACCAAGGCUACGAUGGAUAGCCGGCCUGAGAGGGUGUACGGCCACACUGGGACUGAGACACGGCCCAGACUCCUACGGGAGGCUG
rnacentral:rRNA from 1 species